rnacentral:rRNA from 1 species
GGGCCCGCACAAGCGGUGGAGCAUGUGGUUUAAUUCGAAGAUACGCGCAGAACCUUACCAACACUUGACAUGUUCGUCGCGACUUUAAGAGAUUAAAGUUUUCGGUUCGGCCGGACGAAACACAGGUGCUGCAUGGCUGUCGUCAGCUCGUGUCGUGAGAUGUUGGGUUAAGUCCCGCAACGAGCGCAACCCUCACUUUUAGUUGCCAUCAUUUAGUUGGGCACUCUGAAAGAACUGCCAGUGAUAAGCUGGAGGAAGGUGGGGAUGACGUCAAGUCCUCAUGGCCCUUACGUGUUGGGCUACACACGUGCUACAAUGGUAUCUACAACAGGAAGCAAAACUGCGAGGUUAAGCAAAUCCUUAAAAGAUACCUCAGUUCGGAUUGCACUCUGCAACUCGAGUGCAUGAAGCUGGAAUUACUAGUAAUCGC